UACGAAGGGGGCUAGCGUUGUUCGGAAUUACUGGGCGUAAAGCGCGCGCAGGCGGCUAUCCAAGUCAGUGGUGAAAGCCCGGAGCUCAACUCCGGAACUGCCAUUGAAACUGUUUAGCUUGAGGAUGAGAGAGGUGAGUGGAAUUCCCAGUGUAGAGGUGAAAUUCGUAGAUAUUGGGAAGAACACCAGUGGCGAAGGCGGCUCACUGGCCCGCAACUGACGCUGAGGCGCGAAAGCGUGGGGAGCAAACAGG
rnacentral:rRNA from 1 species